rnacentral:rRNA from 1 species
AAACCAGCACCUCAAGUGGUCAGGAUGAUUAUUGGGCCUAAAGCAUCCGUAGCCGGCUCUGUAAGUUUUCGGUUAAAUCUGUAUGCUCAACAUACAGGCUGCCGGGAAUACUGCAGAGCUAGGGAGUGGGAGAGGUAGACGGUACUCGGGAGGAAGGGGUAAAAUCCUUUGAUCUCUCGAUGACCACCUGUGGCGAAGGCGGUCUACCAGAACACGUCCGACGGUGAGGGAUGAAAGCUGGGGGAGCAAACCGGAUUAGAAACCCGAGUAGUCC